GGAUACCAAGAUUCACCGACCCAGCACCGGAAGGACCAGAGCCGAGGCAGACGAACCCCCUUGAGAUCUCCGCCUACCCCCUGGAAACCCUAGAUCCCGCCAAAGAUCCCCGAAAUUCACACUUCCAGACCUCCUGAACUCACCUCCCAACUACUCACCUAACAGGGGUACCAAGAAUCUAGAAUCACAGCCCCAACACGAGACGGGAGAGCCUGGACAGGCGAAACCCUUCCAGAGAUCUAGACGGAAUCCCUCUGGUGGUUAGACGAAACCCUCCUUUCGAGGAACGUGUAUUAUGUUUAAGUAAAUUGUUAAUCUGUGUGAUUUGUGAUUGCUAAUUGGGUUAGUAAUCAUGGUUUCGACGGUGAGAUUAUAAAAGUUAGGUGGUCUGGCGGAGGCGAAACAUGAGAGCUCAAGUGGUGUUUAGAAUAUAGAAGCAGGCAUAUGGACAACUUCACCUUUUUGGGAACUUAAUAAAAACAACAAAGUUUAACCGUAGUUUAUUAUGCAAUUCUAACUAGUGUUUUCUUUCUUGUUCUUCUAAAACCCAAAUAUGAUUAGAAAAAGUAAAAAGUAACUUCUUGGGUAAGGGUUUAACCUACAAUAUUAUAAAGAAAAGAAAUGAUUUUUGCACUUCCGUUUUUUCCAUCUACACUCUUUCUUUUGUUUUGAACUAUGAAUUUUCUUUUGGUUUAUUUAAUUCGGCGGCUGGAAAAAAAGAGGGGAGUGUUGGAAAUUAUUUCCCUAUAAAGUAUACACUGUGACAUUGAUGAGUUGGGCAAUUCAUUAUGCUAAACAUAUAAUUUCGAUUCAUAAUCUCACAAUAUAACAUAUCAGAUGUCAGAAUUGUAAUUCUAAAUUAUUUUCAUGCUUUGUCUUGUAUUAUUUUCUAGCUUGUAGACUGGGGUAAAUCGUAAACUUUGCAAGAUACAUGUGAUUAUCUUUGAGUUUGAGAGGGGGAUCUUUUGCUUUCCAAAUUAAAAACAAAACAUUUGGUUUAGGAAAAUUUAAUUAGGAUUAUCUCAUAGAUUAGUGGCAAUUAAUCUAGGGGUGUGCUAUCCACACACCCCUUUUUACUUUUUACACACCCCUUGAUAAUUUAUAUCCGUUGAUCUUCUUCAAUUCAUCUGAUCCGACGGCCGAAAAUUAAAAAGGUGUGUGAGAAGUAAAAUGGGGUGUGUGGAUAUCACAUCCCCUCAAAAUGAGUUUGGAUUAGUCAAGGAGAGGGGUCCCAAGCAUGUGGUCACAUAAGAGUUAUUUCCUUCCAUGUGAAAUUCUGAAUCAUAGAUACAUUUUAUGGCCAAAAUACCCUUCUAUUGGUUUUGGCCCUUCCUGGUAUUUCAUGUGAAUUGCCCCAUCUUGGGGUGGUUUUCCAGUAAUUUUGAAAGGCUUAUGAAGUGGUAGAUAUCAUGCCCAAUAGCUUAAUAAGCUUCCUUUAAGAUUUGGGUAGUUAUGGUUAAUCACGACAGCUAAUGAACAUUUGGGGGUAAAUCUUAUUUGAGAAAUGCUAGGGAGAUUCUUUCAAUAGUGGGACUAUUCAUAGACUCUCUACUACCUCAUGUUUUUUGUACAAUGAUUUAUAAUAUUGAUCUAAAAAUUGCCAUUAAAUUAUGACGUGACAAAAAAUCUAUAAAAUGUUUCAAUUUGAGAAAGUCUCUGUAACAUUUCUAACAUUUCUCAUCUUAUUAUUAUUAUUAUUAUUAUUAUUAUUAUUAUUAAGGGUAAUUAAAUAUUGCAGAUGUUGAGUGGUCCACCCUCUGUCCUCUCUUUGUAUAAUUUCUUGUUUGGUGUGUCUUUGUUGUAUGACUUUUAAGGGGGGCAAUAAUGUGUCCAGAGUGCUUACUUAAUCUAAUAAACAACAUUAACCAUCAUGUGAUGCCCAAAUUAUUCUUGGUUUUAGCAGUCAUCAAUUAAUGCUAGCAUUUUCAUUACAAACCACUCUUGGUGAAAGUGUAAACAAAGAGAACUAAGUGUGUGGAUUACAAUUAAGAUUAAACAAGUAUGAUUAUGUGUAGAAAAUGUAAGACAAAUAGCACAAUUUUUUGGAAUGAAUUCCUCGAAUACGGUUAUUUAAAGUAUCCCUUAAUUAAAGCUCCCUCAUAUUUUCAUAAUAGGUUGAUUACCAAAGCACAUAUAAGUUUGACCUUACUCAAGCUUUAUCCUAACUUUAGGAAUUAGCCUAAGUUUGACCUUUCUCAAGAUUUUUUCAGGAAGCACUUUGAAUUCUAAUAAAAAUUUUAACAUGUUUCUACUAAAACCUCUUUUAGUAAAAGUGUUUAUGAUUAGAAAUGCUUCCUACAUAAGUAGCUCUAAAUAAGCUCAAAAUCAUAAAUAGUUUAUGGUGUUAGGCAUGUGAUAUCCUGUCUCAAAAUUUAUAGUUUAUUUAUUUUACAGUUUUAGGAAAAACGAUUUUAAGGGAGUUUUGACCAUUUUAAAUUUUACUUUAGUGUUUGAAGGUGGUUUAGAAUAGACAGUAGAGAUCAAUUCUACGAGCGAUUAGGCACAAACCGUUCGUGAAUCGGAGUUGAAACAAAUAAGUUAUGAGCAUUGAAAGUGAGGGGCAUUUUUGCCUUUUUACUACUUACUAUAAUAGUAAGUUUCCUGUUUCAGAAAUUAUGAACCUGCCAAAUUUGAAAAGUUACGAAAUCAGGAAAGUUAACCCGGAAACCCAUAACCUAGCUCAACAUGACCUACCGACCCGUUUCCUUUCGAAUAUUUUGACACAAAUUCCAGCUAUUUCCAACAAAUUAGUCGAUGCCACCACCACCAACUUCAAGCUCUCAUUUCCCUCUACAAAACUCAUCCAAAAAUCACUUCGAUAGACUACCACACGUGGCGUUACGAGGCCACAAAGUUUUAUGGAUUCUAGCAUAAGUUUUUCCUGGUGUUAAGCUCUACAUGCUUGUAAAAUUUGGUGAAACUUGAAGUGUCACAUCCUGGCCCGGGGCGGACCAUUUCCCGGGCGCGUUCCACCACCGUAGCACGAUAUUGUCCGCUUUGGGCCCCGACUACGCCCUCACGGUUUUGUUUCUGGGAACUCACGAGCAACUUCCCAGUGGGUCACCCAUCUUGGGAGUGCUCUGGCCUCCUUCUCGCUUAAUUUCGAAGUUCCUACGGAACCCGAAGCUAGUGAGCUCCCAAAAGGCCUCGCGCUAGGUAGGGAUGGGAAUAUACAUUUAAGGAUCACUCCCCUGGGCGAUGUGGGAUGUUACAUGAAGUUAGUCGAAAAUUUGAGUUUUCAUUCGCCGGAAACCACCGCUCACGGCAUCGUGUGAGAAAUUCAAGUGACAUGGAUUUUGGCCAAAACGAUAUGCUCAAUGUCUUGAGCCUAUAUUCAAGUUUUUGUUGAGAUUCGAUGUGAUGGUUCGAUUAUUCAAUUUUUGGGAUAAUAGUACCGCUGCUUAGUUUUCGUAGUAACAACAAUCUAACCGUUGGAUCGUCGUUCAAUUUUGUUAGUAUGCUAUUUAUUGAUUAUCAAACCUUUGAAAACUUGUGGAAUGAAAAUCUAACGUUCAAAUCCUCCGGAUUUGAGAAUCUAGGAUUGUUGACCCUAAUAGGGCCUACUUUGACUGACAAUUGACUUUUUAGUCAACGUGCCUCGAAUUAUUCUGGUGUCUGACUAAAUCCUAAGUUAAGACUUGUGUGUUUUAUUGGCCGUUGAUCAUGUAUGAGUGCUUCGAUCUUUGUGCUAGUUGGUAGUGGUCUAGACUUCAGGUGAGUUACUUUAAUAUUAUGUAAAAAUAAGUAUUUUGUCUAUGGAAAUCCUCAUCUUGAUAUACUUUGUGGAUAUGACAUGGAAUAAUAAACGUGUAUUACCCGAUCAUCGAUCUGUUUUGUGAAAUGAUAUAUAUAUAUGUAAAAAGCCUUUAAGGGAAGAGAUCC
rnacentral:lncRNA from 1 species